rnacentral:rRNA from 1 species
GUUGAUAGCCAUACCAUCCUGAACAUACCCAUGCACAUCUGAUCUCAGGAGCUAAGCAGGGUCAGCCUGGUUGAUACUUGGAUUAAUGGUCACCUGGGUACCUACGUAGGCUGCUACUU